UGUGCUCUUUAGGGGUCCCACUUAGCAACUUAAUGUUUGAAAUAUUCUGACAUGGAUUAUCACACCUAAAUUAGAAGCAAUGCUGAGGACUUCUUAGGAACGAAUAACACCUUCUGCUAGAAGGUAAGUGUGCUCUAGCAUAAUGACAACUGCAGAUUGUUUUAAAUCUUACUUUUUGAUAAUUCACAAAUUUUAAGUAAAUUGUAGUAAAUGGUAAGUUCAGAUCUUCUCAGUUAAUAAGGAAAAAAAUUGGUGCUAUAACCGACGCCCCUUUUAUGCUUUGCCCUCUUAAGUCUGGCAGUGUCUUAAGUGGCCAACACAGAGGGGUAUAAAAGUUCUCUCUCAAACCCAGAGGUGAGGUUGAAACUCUUCUUUGGAUCAUGCUGAGAGGAACACAUUCAUGAAACUACUGAACUUCGGGAAGUUACCAAAUCAACUCUAUUGCAUUCAAAAUAGCUUUUUGAAGGUUUCUCGAGUGUGUUGAUGCUUCAUGAAGCAAUGUGAAAUAUAUGGAGUGAAAAGAGUUCCUUGUAAAUUGAGUGGUUUCCAGGGAGUGAACGAGCAUGUGCAAGGGGUUGGAACUUACAUUAAACAUCUGCUUAUGAUUCGAUGAGGGGCUGAUUUAUGAAUUCGUACUAGAUGACUCCAGUUGUCACCUGUAAUGUAUUUUCGUGAGAAAUUGAGAGAAGCAACAGCUAAAACUACACAUCUUCAAUGAUCAUGUUUAUACAGGAACCUCAUCGUUUGAAACCAAGGUUUCUCAACAAAAGCUGCUGUAAUUUAUUUCUCUCUGUGGAUUACUUGAAAUAAAACAUGAGAAUGCUACCAGAA